UAAACUUUAAAGAGUGAAUAAGGCUGUAUAUGGUAGUCUAUGAAGGUAAUACAGGCAAGAGAUGACAAUGGCUUGGUCUAAAGUACUGACAGUAGAGAUGGGUGGCUGUUACUGCCUGGUACUUCCAGCCAACCUCAUGAGCCAGGUGCCCCAGGUAAGCAAACUUUUGUGUAGGCUUCAGGUGUACCACCUUGAGGGCAGCAGGAACCACCAUUCGCUUUUUCUUGUCAUAGGGUGGUGGGAUCCCAUCAAACACCUUGAGGCGGUCCAGGGCACCAUGAUAGAAGCAUUUAGUACUCCUGAGGCAGCUCGGAUGAAAAAUCCAGGGAGAGAGCUGGAUUGUGGCAGGACUGGAGUUUUCCCUGGAAUGGUUUCGCAGUGGGUAGGGUGUUUCUCUUGUCUGCAGUUGCUCUUGGCUAUGGGGCAUCUACUCUUGAUUCUUGGCCCUCCUGGAGAUGUUGUAUGCCACUCAGUAUUCUUUAAUCAAUGCCUUUCUGAUCUGCUAGCUAGAGUAGAUUCUCUUGACUGCAUCUAAGAACAAUAAUGAUACUGAAACUGUGUGUGUAUAGCUGCUCUCAUAGAUAUACAUAUGUUCAUGUUGACCAGUUUCUUUUGGCACAAGUCAAAGCUUUGAUAGUGAUUUCAAUCUGAAAUGGACAUUUUAAAAUUAUGAAAAAUUAUGAAAAAUUAAAAAUCAUUAAAACAUUUAUUUAGCAGGUAUAAAUUAAACACUUAGGAUUUUUAAAACACUGUGUUAGACAUGGAUGAAUUUGAUAUAGUCAAUUCUGGCCCUCAAAGAAUCACAAAAUCUAGAGUCAUUCUCCUGCUUAAAAUUCCCACUGGGAAACUAACCUAAGAGGGCAGAUUCCAUACCUUUUUCAUUCACCACUGUAUCUAGGGCUGAGCACCUCUGCUCAGAGCAUACAUUUGAGCACACACAUAUACACAUGGGUGUAUGUACAUGUUCACUUAUAUAUACACAGAUAUGCAUUUAUUAUGUAAAUAAAUAAAACUAUUUAUUUAUGGGGAGAGCUUCU
rnacentral:lncRNA from 1 species